GAUGAACGCUGGCGGCGUGCCUAACACAUGCAAGUCGAACGAGAAGUGAAGAAGGAUUCUCUCGGGCGGAAGGCUCUAGUUGGAGUGGCGGACGGGUGAGUAACUCGCGGGUAGCCUGCCUUAUACAGGGGGAUAACAGUCUGAAACCACUGUUUAUAUCGCAUCAGACUACACCAUCGUAUGGUGCGGGGGUUAAUACUCUGGUAGUAUGAGAUGGACCCGCGUUGGAUUAGCCAGUUGGCAGGGUAACGGCCCACCAAAGCGACGAUCGAUAGCCGACCUGAGAGGAUGACCGGCCACACUGGGACUGAGACACGGCCCAGACUCCUACGGGAGGCAGCAGUGGGGAAUAUUGCACAAUGGGGGAAAGCCUGAUGCAGCGACGCCGCGUGAGUGAUGAAGUCUUUCGGGAUGUAAAGCUCUAUUACCAGGGAAGAUAAUGACGGUACCUGAAGAAUAAGCCCCGGCUAACUACGUG
rnacentral:rRNA from 1 species